GCUGGCGGCGUGCCUAAUACAUGCAAGUCGAACGCUUCUUUCCUCCCGAGUGCUUGCACUCAAUUGGAAAGAGGAGUGGCGGACGGGUGAGUAACACGUGGGUAACCUACCCAUCAGAGGGGGAUAACACUUGGAAACAGGUGCUAAUACCGCAUAACAGUUUAUGCCGCAUGGCAUAAGAGUGAAAGGCGCUUUCGGGUGUCGCUGAUGGAUGGACCCGCGGUGCAUUAGCUAGUUGGUGAGGUAACGGCUCACCAAGGCCACGAUGCAUAGCCGACCUGAGAGGGUGAUCGGCCACACUGGGACUGAGACACGGCCCAGACUCCUACGGGAGGCAGCAGUAGGGAAUCUUCGGCAAUGGACGAAAGUCUGACCGAGCAACGCCGCGUGAGUGAAGAAGGUUUUCGGAUCGUAAAACUCUGUUGUUAGAGAAGAACAAGGACGUUAGUAACUGAACGUCCCCUGACGGUAUCUAACCAGAAAGCCACGGCUAACUACGUGCCAGCAGCCGCGGUAAUACGUAGGUGGCAAGCGUUGUCCGGAUUUAUUGGGCGUAAAGCGAGCGCAGGCGGUUUCUUAAGUCUGAUGUGAAAGCCCCCGGCUCAACCGGGGAGGGUCAUUGGAAACUGGGAGACUUGAGUGCAGAAGAGGAGAGUGGAAUUCCAUGUGUAGCGGUGAAAUGCGUAGAUAUAUGGAGGAACACCAGUGGCGAAGGCGGCUCUCUGGUCUGUAACUGACGCUGAGGCUCGAAAGCGUGGGGAGCAAACAGGAUUAGAUACCCUGGUAGUCCACGCCGUAAACGAUGAGUGCUAAGUGUUGGAGGGUUUCCGCCCUUCAGUGCUGCAGCAAACGCAUUAAGCACUCCGCCUGGGGAGUACGACCGCAAGGUUGAAACUCAAAGGAAUUGACGGGGGCCCGCACAAGCGGUGGAGCAUGUGGUUUAAUUCGAAGCAACGCGAAGAACCUUACCAGGUCUUGACAUCCUUUGACCACUCUAGAGAUAGAGCUUUCCCUUCGGCGACAAAGUGACAGGUGGUGCAUGGUUGUCGUCAGCUCGAUGUCGUGCAGAUGUUGAGUAAGUCCCGCAACGAGCGCACCCUUAUUGUUAGGUGGCAUGCAUCUAGGUUGGCACUCUUAGCCGAGAACUGCGGUGACAAACGGAGAGGUGGGAUGACGGUCAAUCAUCAUGCCGCUUUAUGA
rnacentral:rRNA from 1 species